GAAAAUUUGGUUUUGGAGUUUUAAAAAAGAGGCAAGAUUCAAAUUAAAUCAAUUUUGUUAAUUACAAUCCUCUCUAAGUAUCAUUGACAACAUUUCAAACCAUCCAUAACACAUUCAUUAAGGAUCAUGAAAAUUAAAAAUAGAAUUGAACGAAUAAAAUUCCAUUAAUUACCAUCAAGUCAUGAAGUACAACAACCAUAUCAUCUUCAUCCAUCUCUACAUACAACAACAUCCAUACUAACAUAUCCAUAUUACAUACACAACAAAAAACUAAAAAAUAAUAUCAUUUGAAAUUCAACACGAAACACUUGAAAUACGUGAAUUACAUCAUCCAUAAGCACAAGU
rnacentral:lncRNA from 1 species